UACGUAGGGGGCUAGCGUUGUCCGGAAUCAUUGGGCGUAAAGAGCUUGUAGGCGGUUUGUCGCGUCUGCCGUGAAAAUCCGGGGCUCAACCCCGGACUUGCGGUGGGUACGGGCAGACUAGAGUGUGGUAGGGGAGACUGGAAUUCCUGGUGUAGCGGUGAAAUGCGCAGAUAUCAGGAGGAACACCGAUGGCGAAGGCAGGUCUCUGGGCCACUACUGACGCUGAGAAGCGAAAGCGUGGGGAGCGAACAGG
rnacentral:rRNA from 1 species